GUCCCUGUGGUGCAAAGGAUAGCGCGUUGGACUUCUAAUCCAAAAGUUGUGGUUUCGAAUUCCACUUGGGAUG